AGUAGAGAGGAGACAUUGCUGGAACUGGCAAUAGAGGAGAAGGAGCGCCGCAACAUGAAUGAGAGGAUUCCUCGCCAUGAUCAGAGUGGAAGCCUCGGGGAUGAUAACAUUGGUAUUAAAGAGGAGUAUAAAGAGGAGGAAGAGGAGUAUGGAGUGAUAGAGGAGUU